AUCACUUCUUGGCUUUUGGCUAAGAUCAAGUGCAGUAUCUGUACUUAUCAGUUUAAUAUAAAUGUUAGUAAUUUAGAGCACUUUUGGAAAGCAAUUCAAAAAUAUCUGUCGACAUUAA
rnacentral:snRNA from 1 species